rnacentral:tRNA from 1 species
GAUAUAGCUCACUUGGUAGAGUAUUUGUCUCAUAUGCAGAAUGCCCUGGGUUCAGUCCCCAGCAUC